rnacentral:tRNA from 1 species
CUGGGUGAUGCAAAGGGUUAAUGCACUUGGCUGCUAACCAAAUGGCUAGAGGUUCAAGGCCCACCCAGA